AGUGUCCACCUCACGUAGCUGGCCGAGGCGGUAUCCAGAUUCCGGGGGUCUCGCUCCUUGGCAUAGUGGUCGCUUAACUCCAGCGCCUUCCCAGUGCCUCCCAAACCUCUCCUCCUCCUGCCCGGGGCUGUUCUAGGAGGAGCCUAAAUGUCCGCUUCCCCAGCUGAAGGGGAUUGUGGUGCGUAAACAGGAUUAACUCCCUCGCCCCCAGCUGCGCGGAUCUGCGCGGCGGCCUGCGGGCCAGAGCGAGCCUUCGGGUGCGUGGAGGGCGCAGCACUGGAGCGGGGGAUGGGGAAGCGCGCGGCCUUGGAGCCGUCUCUUGGGCCCGCUUCCUCGCCGAGUGGGGAGGGGGGCCACAGCCUAAGGAGCUGCUCCUCAAAAGCCCGGGCGGACGGCGGCGACGGCGCGGGUUCCUAGCGGCAGCCUCAGCUCCACCACCUCCCUCACCCUCCCCGCGCUUCCUCUCCGCCCCUCGCGCUCCAGCCACUCGGCCGCAGCCGGCGCUGUCCUCCGCCCCCCGGAGCCGCCGCGCCAGACCCUCGCCCAGACAUGGGGGACCUGCCGGGCCUCGUGCGCCUCUCCAUCGCGCUGCGCAUCCAGCCUAAUGACGGCCCGGUCUUUUACAAGGUGGACGGGCAGCGCUUCGGCCAGAACCGCACCAUCAAGCUGCUCACCGGCUCCUCCUACAAGGUUGAGGUGAAGAUUAAACCCAGCACGCUGCAGGUCGAUCUAUUGCAGGAAUAUUUCCAUUGGUGGUGUGCUUGUCCCACUGGAACUGAAGUCUAAAGAGCCUGAUGGGGACAGAGUUGUUUAUACGGGUACAUAUGACACAGAAGGUGUGACCCCAACGAAGAGUGGAGAACGGCAACCCAUCCAGAUCACCAUGCCGUUCACAGACAUUGGGACCUUCGAGACAGUGUGGCAAGUCAAGUUCUACAAUUACCACAAGCGGGAUCACUGCCAGUGGGGAAGCCCCUUCUCUGUCAUUGAGUAUGAAUGCAAGCCCAACGAGACACGCAGUCUGAUGUGGGUGAACAAGGAGUCCUUCCUCUGAAAGUGGCUCUUUCUGAUGCUACUGGACAAUCUUUUCAGAAAUCUACUUUUAGAUAAACCAGCGCAGGCCUUAAACAAGGCAUGCCACACCAUUGCUGUUCCCCAUCUGGUACUAAUGACCUACUAGCCCUGGUUAUUUUGAAAGUGUAAUUCCCCUCUGACACAAUAUCCCUCACAUACAAGAUGGUGAUGUACCACUCCCGAGAAUAUUCCCAUCUGUAUUUUGUGCUGAUGUUCCUGCAUCCAGUUGUUCUCGGUCAUACUUUUGACCACUUGUGACUGGAGUUCAGUGGCCCUGGCAGGCUUGUCCUGCUCUUGACCAUUCCACUGACUAACUUUGGUGUUUUGUUUCCAAGUUAAGUGAUUCCUCCUUUUUUUUGUUCAAUGUUAAAUUUAAAAAUAACAAUGUGUAUGGGUCCUCCCAUGUGUAAUAUGGUAACAUGUAACUUGCAGUGUUUGCCAGCUUUCAAAGCAGGCUUUGUGAAAAUGUAAUACAAACAGCAGUGAAUGGGACUCAAAUGUUGUGCUUCCUAUAAACAGCUCCGCUCUUUCAGGGAAGGAUGGUAACAAACUAGAAGGACAAAUAUGUACGUAUUUAUAACGUAUUAAAACUCUUUUAAGUAGCUUAAGGUAUUGUGCAAUGGCCUAGCCUAGUAGAAAUGGGGGAAAAGCAUUGCUGUGGACCAUUGUUAAAGUGACAGGAGUUGUAGGGUUACCCCUUUGACAAGCUUCCAUAGUCUUCAGACACGCACAUUGAUGGCAUCCCUACAGUCUUCUUCACUUGAACUUUGUAAAACUGCAUAUGGACCUGUAAUCAACUUUUGAUAUUUCUUAAUAAAGGCGUUGAAAAUCA